rnacentral:lncRNA from 1 species
UCCUCGGAACUGUUGCCCACAUGCAGCCCCGGACACAGCCCCUAGCCCAAACCCUACCCUUCUUCCUCGGAGGGGCCCCUCGAGACACUGGGCUGCGGGUGCCUGUCAUUAAGAUGGGCACAGGGUGGGAGGGCUUCCAGCGGACCCUGAAGGAAGUCGCCUACAUCCUCCUCUGCUGCUGGUGUAUCAAGGAACUGCUGGAUUAAUGGUAGCAGGGAACUGCCUCCUCUCCCCACCAGCACCAUGGCUGGCAUCGCUCAGGUGGGCAGGGUAGAGUAAACAGGAGGCAUAGCUGCAGCUUCUGUGGCAGAGCUUGCCUUAGCUUCUCAUUCUCUUCUUUAGCCCCCAGCCCAAUUGCCAUCAAGACUCCUGAAGCCAGCUGUGCUUGACCAAGGAUGGGCCAUAAACAAUGAGUAAACAGUAAAGUGUGGAUCCUGCUUUGAGCUGUGUCAUCUAGCAGACCUGCCUCAUCUCUGAGCCUCCUUCAUUCCCAACCCCUGCCUCUGGUGGACCUCUGGUGGGCAGGAGCUUGGACUGCUCUGGCUAGGACCCCAG